rnacentral:rRNA from 1 species
CCUACGGGUGGCAGCAGUGGGGAAUAUUGCACAAUGGGCGCAAGCCUGAUGCAGCCAUGCCGCGUGUAUGAAGAAGGCCUUCGGGUUGUAAAGUACUUUCAGCGGGGAGGAAGGCGAUAAGGUUAUUAACCUUGUCGGUUGACGUUACCCGCAGAAGAAGCACCGGCUAACUCCGUGCCGGCAGCCGCGGUAAUACGGAGGGUGCAAGCGUUAAUCGGAAUUACUGGGCGUAAAGCGCACGCAGGCGGUCUGCCAAGUCGGAUGUGAAAUCCCCGGGCUCAACCUGGGAACUGCAUUCGAAACUGGCAGGCUGGAGUCUUGUAGAUGGGGGUAGAAUUCCAGGUGUAGCGGUGAAAUGCGUAGAGAUCUGGAGGAAUACCGGUGGCGAAGGCGGCCCCCUGGACAAAGACUGACGCUCAGGUGCGAAAGCGUGGGGAGCAAACAGGAUUAGAUACCCGCGUAGUC